AUGAACGCUGGCGGCGUGCCUCAUACAUGCAAGUCGCGCGCACAGACGAGGAGCUUGCUCCUCUGACGUUAGCGGCGGACGGGUGAGUAACACGUGGAUAACCUACCUAUAAGACUGGGAUAACUUCGGGAAACCGGAGCUAAUACCGGAUAAUAUAUUGAACCGCAUGGUUCAAUAGUGAAAGACGGUUUUGCUGUCACUUAUAGAUGGAUCCGCGCCGCAUUAGCUAGUUGGUAAGGUAACGGCUUACCAAGGCAACGAUGCGUAGCCGACCUGAGAGGGUGAUCGGCCACACUGGAACUGAGACACGGUCCAGACUCCUACGGGAGGCAGCAGUAGGGAAUCUUCCGCAAUGGGCGAAAGCUUGACGGAGCAACGCCGCGUGAGUGAUGAAGGUCUUCGGAUCGUAAAACUCUGUUAUUAGGGAAGAACAAAUGUGUAAGUAACUAUGCACGUCUUGACGGUACCUAAUCAGAAAGCCACGGCUAACUACGUG
rnacentral:rRNA from 1 species